rnacentral:tRNA from 1 species
CCUUCGAUAGCUCAGUUGGUAGAGCGGUGGACUGUAGAGCGGUAAAUUUACAUUAAGUAGACAUCCAUAGGUCGCUGGUUCAAAUCCGGCUCGAAGGA